GACGAACGCUAGCGGCGUGCUUAACACAUGCAAGUCGAACGGAAAGGCUCCAGCUUGCUGGAGUACUCGAGUGGCGAACGGGUGAGUAACACGUGGGUAAUCUGCCCUGCACUCUGGGAUAAGCCUGGGAAACUGGGUCUAAUACUGGAUAUGACCUUUCUCCUUAUGGGGUUUGGUGGAAAGUUUUUCGGUGUAGGAUGAGCCCGCGGCCUAUCAGCUUGUUGGUGGGGUGAUGGCCUACCAAGGCGACGACGGGUAGCCGGCCUGAGAGGGUGAUCGGCCACAUUGGGACUGAGAUACGGCCCAGACUCCUACGGGAGGCAGCAGUGGGGAAUAUUGCACAAUGGGCGGAAGCCUGAUGCAGCGACGCCGCGUGAGGGAUGACGGCCUUCGGGUUGUAAACCUCUUUCAGCAGGAACGAAGCGUAAGUGACGGUACCUGCAGAAGAAGCACCGGCUAACUAUGUG
rnacentral:rRNA from 1 species